UAAGGAAUAUUGGGCAAUGGACGCAAGUCUGACCCAGCCAUACCGCGUGGAGGAUGAAGGUCCUCUGGAUUGUAAACUUCUUUUCUCUGGGGCGAAAACGGGAUAUUCUUAUCCCCCUGACAGUACCAGAGGAAUAAGCACCGGCUAACUCCGUGCCAGCAGCCGCGGUAAUACGGAGGGUGCAAGCGUUAUCCGGAUUCACUGGGUUUAAAGGGUGCGUAGGUGGGCAGGUAAGUCAGUGGUGAAAUCCCCGAGCUUAACUUGGGAACUGCCGUUGAUACUAUCUGUCUUGAAUGUCGUGGAGGUAAGCGGAAUAUGUCAUGUAGCGGUGAAAUGCUUAGAUAUGACAUAGAACACCAAUUGCGAAGGCAGCUUGCUACACGAUGAUUGACACUGAUGCACGAAAGCGUGGGGAUCAAACAGG
rnacentral:rRNA from 1 species